CCCGCUCAGAAACUUAAAGGAAUUGACGGGGGCCCGCACAAGCGGUGGAGCAUGUGGUUUAAUCGAAGCAACGCGAAGAACCUUACCAGGCCUUGACAUGCAGAGAACUUUCCAGAGAUGGAUUGGUGCCUUCGGGAACUCUGACACAGGUGCUGCAUGGCUGUCGUCAGCUCGUGUCGUGAGAUGUUGGGUUAAGUCCCGUAACGAGCGCAACCCUUGUCCUUAGUUACCAGCACGUUAUGGUGGGCACUCUAAGGAGACUGCCGGUGACAAACCGGAGGAAGGUGGGGAUGACGUCAAGUCAUCAUGCCCCUUAUGAUCUGGGCUACACACGUGCUACAAUGGCCGGUACAACGGGCAGCGAAGGAGCGAUCCGGAGCGAAUCCUAAAAAGCCGGUCCCAGUUCGGAUUGCAGGCUGAAACUCGCCUACAUGAAGUUGGAGUUGCUAGUAAUCGCGAAUCAGAAUGUCGCGGUGAAUGCGUUCCCGGGUCUU
rnacentral:rRNA from 1 species